GAUCGUUGCUUGAUGAUAUUUCUUAAAAUCAGGCAACACUAGCCCUCCGUAAAUUCUAGGUCGGCAUAUGAUGUCGUGUCGAGUCCUAGAUCGUCUUCCUCGCCAUAUAAAUCUAAUCACCGCCGUUUUCAGGGCGGAGAAGAAGGUCGCCAGUAUUGCGAGAGGUAUAGUCUGCAUGAGAUAUAGGAUCCUCGGGAGUAUAUUCAUUUUAAUCACCGCGAUUCUUCCAUGCCAUGUUACAUGCGGAUAUGACCAUCUGGACAGGUCUGCAAGGAUGUUCUUUAAUAAAGGUAAAGUUGUGUUGAUAUAUAUUUUUCGGGUCCGUGGUCACACAGAUGCCCAGGUAUUUCAUCUUGCCGCGACACCAGUGGGAUGCGAAUUGCGAUUCUAAAGACAGGAAUUCCUCUGUGGGGAGUGUUAUGUUCAAGACCUCACAUUUCGAGAUGUUAAGCUUGAAUCCGGAUAUCUGUCCGAAUCUAUCAAAUUCUGAAAGGAGACACGGCAGUGUGAUUCUGGGGUUGUGGACAAAGAAAAGGAGGUCGUCCGCGUAUGCAGCCACUUUAUGUUGCACUCCCUGCCAGUCAUAUCCCUGUAUGUCUGGAUUUUGGUGGAUUGCCUGUAACAGAGGCUCCAGGGUCAGCGCGAACAGCAACGGUGAGAGUGGGCAUCCCUGUCGGGUUCCGUUGCUGAUAGCGAAAUCAGCGGUCGUGGCCCCAUUAUUCCUCACGGUUGUGUGCGGUCUGCUAUACAGGGCAGAUAUCCACGUAAGGAGUCUCUGACCACAGCCCAGCCGUCUUAGUGUCGCCAGCAUGUAUGUCCAAUUGACCCGGUCAAAUGCUUUUUCCGCAUCGGUUGAUAGCAGUAGUAACC